CACCAUGGUUCCCACUUCUGGAGCCAGAUUGCUGUCUCAGCCAUCAAUAGGACAGGUUCUUUCUUUAGAAAUGAACUAUUAUUGUUUUUUUAACCCAUGUGUAAGCAAGAGAGUAAAACACCAACACUUUUGUUGUUACAGAGAUAGCUUCCCUACAGAGAUAGGGUUUGAUGAUGCUGUCCUUGUUCCUCCCUUGUAGGACAGAUUCCUCCUGGAAGCAGAUGUUUUGUCUGUCCUUCAUUGUCAGAUCGGGGCACAUGGUGGAUUUGGGGAGCAGCAGCUCAGUCUGCAGCAGUGCACGCAGCCCCAGUUGCUUGUGGCCAGGCCCCUCCUGGGAUGUUCUCCAUGCAGCUGCCAAAGUGCUGGCCAAAAUCCCCUCCCCCGGUGAGAACUGCCUUGGUCUUUAAUACAAAGCUGCACCUCACUCUUGGCUGCUGCCUCAGCCUCAGGCUGGGAGCUCCCCCGAGGGCAGUGCCCCGACAAUGACAACAGGACUUCAUGGCUUCGAGCCGUGGGCAGGUUUGUCCCAGCCUACAAGCAUCCCACAGCUGCCUGCAGAUGCAACCCUUUGUCUGAGGAGAAGCAAGGAGGAGACAGCACUAGUGCUUUUAGCCUGAAAGAGGUACAAAGAGGGCAAUACUGACUGCUAUUCAGAUGGAAAAGACCAGCAAUGUAAAGGAUGCAUCAUCCUAGCACCCAAACCAACAAGCUAAGAAGCAUUAAGUUAAUCACGGUCUUAGUUAUUGACCUGUGUAGAAAUACCUCUGUACUUAGUGGAUUUUCAGGACACACAGAAGCAUUGCCAUACCUGUUCUACAUUAGAAGAAAUAAAGUGUCCAAAUGGUGAAAGUAGCUUCUGUUAGUGCACUCUUGUUUUAAAGACUGGGAUUGGUCAACAGAUAUGCUGGAAAGGACACUGAAAGUGUGUUUUCAUUGCUAGAAAGUAACAUCUCCACACUGAAAAAGCCAAAAAAAAAAAAAAAAAAAA